AGAGUUUGAUCCUGGCUCAGAAUCAACGCUGGCGGCGUGCCUAACACAUGCAAGUCGAACGAGAAAGUGGAGCAAUCCAUGAGUACAGUGGCGUACGGGUGAGUAACACGUGGGUGAUCUACCUCCGGGUGGGGAAUAACGCUGGGAAACCGGCGCUAAUACCGCAUAACCUUGAGAAAGGAAAGCAGCAAUGCGCCUGG
rnacentral:rRNA from 1 species